CUCCACCGGCGACCUCCGCCCUCUGCCUUAGAUCGAGGAGGCGGACGCCGUCAGAUCCGCCAUGCCCACAGCUCUCUCUGCCCCACCCCAAACCCUAUCCACAGCUGCCACUGUGCUCCAUCACUGGCGACCUCGCCGCCGCCGCCCCUCUCUCCUCGCCCUAUCUCCAUACCGCACGCGGGGGAGUGAGGGAGGCCCCAAAUCGAAGCGAGCAGCAGCUUCCAGAUCCAGAUCGAGAGGGGCACACAUUGUCACCUUCCUCCGCCCCAUGGCUCCUCUGUGGUCCCUACCCGCGGCUCCCGCGACGCCGAGCCAGAUGGGAGGAGCCACCGCCCCGCAGCACGCGUGCGCUGGUAGGGCGAGGGGAUCGAUGGCGGAGCUACAUGUGCAGGCGGUGCCCCCGCCGGAUCUGAACAAGAACACCGACCUGGUUCAUGUACCCGGGGGUCUGGACCACCUACAUCUUCAUCCUCUUCGUCUCCUAGCUCCUCAUCCUCUCCAUCUUCGGCUGCACCCCCGGCAUGGCCUGGACGCUCGUCAACCUUGGCCACUUUGCGGUCAACCAUGAAUUCAACUUUGAUGCUGAAGCCCAAGGAGCAGGAGGUCCUGGUGCUGGAGGAUGCAUAGGGGAAGACCCAUCUCAAGGGCCUCUCUAAGGUUCAUGUCAGGUCCAUUGAGGAUUUCGCGCAGUUGGGUUGUUUCGAUGAGAACCAGGACAAGCAGAAGGCCACCAAGGCUUCUUAUACCUAGCAGCAACCUACUAAACCCUCUUCUCACCUGCAGCCACCACCCCAUGCACAAAUACCAGCUGGCAAAACAGUUGCCCAAUGGGAACCUCCACAUUCGUGCUUAUGUUCAGCAAUAUGUUUAGAAUUUGGAGCCUUGCACUUUGUAGAAGUUAGGCUUAGUAUUCCAAGAUAAACUGCAUUGCUGUUACCUGUUAGAUUCCAAAUAAGUGUCUUGAUUCCAAGAUUCACUUGUGCUGAUUGUCAGAUAGUGUUGGUAGAUUAUUUUGAUAACUUUAGGCCUUCAUUUUCUUAUCUUCCAUUGACACAAGCACUUUUAUCAUGUUAGUAACGUCUGUAAAUAGCAUGAUUACUGCCUAGCUGCUAUGUGCCUAUUUUCUCUAAAAAAACUGAGACAUGUUGAGCUGACGCUGACUGAGAUAAUAUAGUAAUCAGUAAAAACCGAGACCUCCUUGAGUUUUAUAUGAAACUGUACUGCUAAUUGAAUGGCAACAUCACUGGAGUUAGCCGUUCUUGAGUUUCAUGAACUUGAUAUGAACAAAUUUGAUUAACAAAUCAUGAUGCUUAUUCAUUUAACUUGAUGGUCUUAUAUUGUUAUGUGUCGCAUGCGCCAAACGCGUCCAGAGUCUUCUUUCCUCCAGCAGCCACUGAUCUACAGCUAGGCAGUGAAGUUCCCUAUAACUAAAAUGGUAGGAUGCACAAGUUUAUAAGUCAGGUUUGUUUAGUUUAGGUCGAUGAAGCAUGGCAAGUAUAUUUUAUUAAUCUCCAGUAAUAAUUUAGGAUAAUCUCAAGUACAUUCAUUCAUGCGACAUUUUUCGAUUGUGGUGCUGAAUGAUGUUUGUUUUGCAUCUUUUGGCUUCAUUGAUGAAUGUUUGUCUCUCAUCUUCGAGCAGAGUUUGGUCCGAGCCAAGUUUACCUAUACUUGGUCAGCUCGGGCGGCUUCGCUAGCCCAACCGCCGUUGUUUUUGCCCAUUUGUGUUGUUGCUUUAGUAGCAUCCUCUGCUUCCUUUUACGUAGCAACAGAGCACCACUCUUACCCUACACUUCUCUCCAGAUUAUGCUACAAUUACAAAUUUACAAUGCAUUCAUGCAUGAGCAGUGCAUGUGUUGGCGUCCAUGAGAUCAGCAAUAGUUUGAACAAAUGAGCCGUAGGGUCUUUUUGGAACUCAUUGAUGCAUCAUAACUCAUUUGGAGAGCUACCUACUCAUUUGGAUGCGAUAUCAUGCUUGCUCUUUUGAAAUCGAUAAUGAUGCUCUGAAUGUUAGUUCUAUUGCCAUUGUGGAUUAGCUUAUGCCCCUCAAAUGCCAUUGACAAGUUGCAUCCCUUGACUUCAUAGAUCAGUGGAAUUAUCAUGAGUAGUAUACAACCUGAGAUGUCCGAUUGUAUACAAACUGCACCUCAAAAUUGAUAUGUUCUAGGCUGUGUCUCUGACUGCAAAUGUUUCUUCACUAUAAACUCUUCUACCGGUGAUAAGUGCAACUAGAAGAAUUUGUCCCAUAAAAAAUUCUGUAAUCCCUAUUAGCUGAAACUUGAGCAUUACAAAGUUUCAUUUCUAAGUUCAGUUUGUUGAUAAGACAUCCUCCUCCUGUUUCUGGGACUAUAUUAUGGUGUUGUGGAUAUACUUUGUGAUUUACAGUUACUGAUCUGUGCUUUGUUGUCAUAUUAUGGUCUAAUAUAUUUUGUUUUGACUCUUUCUCUGUUGCCAGGAAAGUGGUGAGGAGAUGUUGAUGAUGCCUACUUGCUUGGCUGCUAUGGUGAUGCAUGCACCGGUGAAGCAAGCACAUAUGUAAGGCUGCCCCAUGCACUUGCGAACAUCAUCUACAGUGUCUGUUCGUUAACAUCAAGUCUAAAUUGUCGCUUUGAUUUUUCCUGUUACUUAGUAUAGCAGUAUGACUAGGACAAGCUACAAGAUCCCAGUGCGUCUGAUCCAGGGUGUGUUAGGGCCAACCUGUUACGGAAGAUGGCCAUGCUCACGAGCCCCUCUGGAUCAAAAUCGGAUGGCAAGUUGUGGCAGCUGGAGCAUGUAUCACAAGGAAGAGCAAUGAAAUCCAUUGUACUGUUCCGUUAAAAAGAGAGUACAUUGUGCUGCUAUGAAAUAUUCCUGUGUAAGGAAAUGUAUUUCUGAGAUGCUUUUUUGUGUUAUGUAAACCUUGGAGAUGUGUUAUGUGAUGUGAUAUGACGGUUGACUUGAAUUUGACCUGGAGUUUUCCUAAUUUGAAUGAAAUAAUGUUGGAUGUA